rnacentral:pre_miRNA from 1 species
AAUAAACCAUUUUUUCACUUUUUACCUAUAAUUUUUUACUCUUCGUCUUAUUUAAAUUUUUUUGCGGUUGAUAUUUUUGUUUUUAUUAGAUGAUAAAUCAUUAAUAGUACUUUACGUGUGACUAAUUUUUUUCUAAUUUUAUAAAUUUUUUUAAAUAAGACGGAUGGUCAAAUGUUUAACACGAAAACCGGAG